UAGUAAGUGUUUAAGAGCGUACGGUGGAUGCCUUGGCACCAGGAGCCGAUGAAGGACGUAGGAGGCUGCGAUAAGCCUCGGGGAGCUGUCAACCGAGCUGAGAUCCGAGGAUUUCCGAAUGGGGAAACCCAGCACGAGUGAUGUCGUGUUACCCGCAUCUGAAUAUAUAGGGUGUGUGGAGGGAACGUGGGGAAGUGAAACAUCUCAGUACCCACAGGAAGAGAAAACAACAGUGAUUCCGUGAGUAGUGGCGAGCGAAAGCGGAUGAGGCUAAACCNCCGCCGAUGUCGACAAGGUCGUACCCAGUGUGAAGAGAGGGAACGUGGGGAAGUGAAACAUCUCAGUACCCACAGGAAGAGAAAACAACAGUGAUUCCGUGAGUAGUGGCGAGCGAAAGCGGAUGAGGCUAAACCAGUUAGAUGUGAUAGACGGCAGUUGUUGUCUAGCUGGGGUAGUGGGAACAUUCUUCUCAACUCUGCCGAGUUGAGCAACAGUAAGAAACCAAGUGGUUAGUUGAAGUGGUCUGGAACGGCCUGCCAUAGACGGUGAUAGUCCGGUAAACGAAAACUUCUUGGCUGUUGUGGAUGUCUCCCGAGUAGCAGCGGGCCCGUGAAAUCUGCUGUGAAUCUGCCGGGACCACCCGGUAAGCCUGAAUACUCCCUGGUGACCGAUAGCGGACUAGUACCGUACCCGAGUAGCAGCGGGCCCGUGAAAUCUGCUGUGAAUCUGCCGGGACCACCCGGUAAGCCUGAAUACUCCCUGGUGACCGAUAGCGGACUAGUACCGUGAGGGAAAGGUGAAAAGUACCCCGGGAGGGGAGUGAAAUAGUACCUGAAACCGUGCGCUUACAAUCCGUCAAAGCCUUCGCAACUUGUUGUGUGGGGUGAUGGCGUGCCUUUUGAAGAAUGAGCCUGCGAGUCAUCGGUGUGUGGCGAGGUUAACCCGUCGAGGGGUAGCCGUAGCGAAAGCGAGUCUGAAUAGGGCGAAAUUKAGUCGCACAUUAUGGACCCGAAGCGGAGUGAUCUACCCAUGGCCAGGGUGAAGCGACGGUAAGACGUCGUGGAGGCCCGAACCCACUUAGGUUGAAAACUGAGGGGAUGAGCUGUGGGUAGGGGUGAAAGGCCAAUCAAACUCCGUGAUAGCUGGUUCUCCCCGAAAUGCAUUUAGGUGCAGCGUCACGUGUUUCACACCGGAGGUAGAGCUACUGGAUGGCCUAGGGGGCCUACAAGCUUACCGAAGUCAGCCAAACUCCGAAUGCCGGUGUGUGAGAGCGUGGCAGUGAGACUGCGGGGGAUAAGCUUCGUAGUCGAGAGGGAAACAGCCCAGAUCGCCGGCUAAGGCCCCUAAGCGUGUACUAAGUGGAAAAGGAUGUGGGGUCGCUUAGACAACCAGGAGGUUGGCUUAGAAGCAGCCACCCUUGAAAGAGUGCGUAAUAGCUCACUGGUCAAGUGAUCCUGCGCCGACAAUGUAGCGGGGCUCAAGUACACCGCCGAAGCCGCGGCAUUCACRCAAUAGCCCGUCUCAACUGUAGUGGUUGGGGCCAGGUGUGUGGAUGGGUAGGGGAGCGUCCUGUGGCCGUGGAAGCAGCAGUGUGAACUAGCUGUGGAGGCCACGGGAGUGAGAAUGCAGGCAUGAGUAGCGAAAGACGAGUGAGAAACUCGUCCGCCGAAUGACCAAGGGUUCCUGGGCCAGGUUAAUCCGCCCAGGGUGAGUCGGGACCUAAGGCGAGGCCGACAGGCGUAGUCGAUGGACAACGGGUUGAUAUUCCCGUACCCGUGUAUCCGCGCCCAAUGCUGAAUCAGUUGUGCUAACUGUCCAAAUGUUGUCUUAUCGAGCCUUCGGGUGAGAGGGGUGACGGCUGCACAGGACCCUGACUGUAGUAGGUAAGCGAUGGGGUGACGCAGGAAGGUAGCUGGGCCAGGUGAUGGAAUACCUGGUGUAAGCCUGUAGGGCGWWSKGUAGGCAAAUCCGCMSWKCAUKWAGCCUGAGAGGUGAUGCGUACCCGUUGAGGGGAAUUCAGUGAUCCUAUGCUGCCGAGAAAAGCCUCUAGCGAGCUGGUACACGGCCCGUACCCCAAACCGACACAGGUGGUCAGGUAGAGAAUACUAAGGCGAUCGAGAGAACUGUGGUUAAGGAACUCGGCAAAAUGCCCCCGUAACUUCGGGAGAAGGGGGACCACGCCUGGUGAAGGGUUUUACACCUGGAGCUGGGUGGGGUCGCAGAGACCAGAGAGAAGCGACUGUUUACUAAAAACACAGGUCCGUGCGAAGUCGUAAGACGAUGUAUACGGACUGACGCCUGCCCGGUGCCGGAAGGUUAAGAGGACCGGUUAGCCUGUAAGGGCGAAGCUGAGAAUUUAAGCCCCGGUAAACGGCGGUGGUAACUAUAACCAUCCUAAGGUAGCGAAAUUCCUUGUCGGGUAAGUUCCGACCUGCACGAAUGGCGUAACGACUUCUCUGCUGUCUCAACCACAGACUCGGCGAAAUUGCAUUACGAGUAAAGAUGCUCGUUACGCGCGGCAGGACGAAAAGACCCCGGGACCUUCACUAUAGCUUGGUAUUGGUGUUCGGUACGGUUUGUGUAGGAUAGGUGGGAGACUGUGAAGCUCGGACGCUAGUUCGGGUGGAGUCGUCGUUGAAAUACCACUCUGAUCGUAUUGGACUUCUAACCUCGGACCAUGAUCUGGUUCAGGGACAGUGCCUGGUGGGUAGUUUAACUGGGGCGGUUGCCUCCCAAAAUGUAACGGAGGCGCCCAAAGGUUCCCUCAGCCUGGUUGGCAAUCAGGUGUUGAGUGCAAGUGCACAAGGGAGCUUGACUGUGAGACUGACAGGUCGAGCAGGGACGAAAGUCGGGACUAGUGAUCCGGCACCGGCAAGUGGAAGCGGUGUCGCUCAACGGAUAAAAGGUACCCCGGGGAUAACAGGCUGAUCUUCCCCAAGAGUCCAUAUCGACGGGAUGGUUUGGCACCUCGAUGUCGGCUCGUCGCAUCCUGGGGCUGGAGUAGGUCCCAAGGGUUGGGCUGUUCGCCCAUUAAAGCGGCACGCGAGCUGGGUUUAGAACGUCGUGAGACAGUUCGGUCUCUAUCCGCCGCGCGCGUAAGAAACUUGAGGAAGGCUGUCCCUAGUACGAGAGGACCGGGACGGACGAACCUCUGGUGUGCCAGUUGUUCCGCCAGGAGCACUGCUGGUUGGCUACGUUCGGAAGGGAUAACCGCUGAAAGCAUCUAAGCGGGAAGCCUGUUCCAAGAUGAGGUUUCUCUCCCACUUGAUGGGUUAAGGCCCCCUACAGACCAUGGGGUUGAUAGGCCAGAAUUGGAAGCCAGGUAACUGGUGUAGGUGACUGGUACUAAUAGGCCGAGGGCUUACUACR
rfam:Nocardia sp. Root136 contig_5, whole genome shotgun sequence.